AUGUUCGUCCUGCGAGCACGCGCGCGAGCAUCACAAAACAAAUCAGAAUUGCAUCAGGCUAUUGCUACGUUGGAUCUGGCCAUCUGCAGAUGUUUAAUUGAUGGUUACCUUGAGUUGUUUAUCCUUGGACCGGACGAGCGCGGUGCCGCGGACCGAAACGCCUUCCCACCGAUCCUGCCGCCGGACUUGCCCGCCAUGGCGUCGUCGACGGGCGCGAGUACGAGCACGCCGGCGGCCAUGGCGACCAUCGCCAGCUUCCCGAGAUUUUUCAGCUCGAGGUUUCCGGCCCACGACGGAGGCGCGUCCUUCUGGUCGGAGGCCCUGCAAGAAAGCCUCGCCGAUGCCGGCCUAAUUGACGACCUCGUGAGCUGCGGGGCCGUGCAUAGGGGCCUCCCUGUGAGGAAGCUCUGGAGAGAUGUGGGGGCUAACGCCAUGGCCGUGAUCUCCCACUCGGCUCCUAGCUUGCUUGCUUUGCUUGCUCUUGCUAUGUCUUCUUCUUUCUCUGAGUUCUUGAUUGCUUGCUGCAGUCUGAGAUGGGAAGCGGUGGAAGAAAGGUAA
rnacentral:rRNA from 1 species